AAAAGGAUGGCCCUGAAAGCAAAACUAGGUUCAAAGUUCAGAUGUGGGUUGUGAGAAGAGAGAGGUAUGGAGGCAUAUGGACUCUUCCAGAACCCUAGGGCCCAGGAGGGUGCCAUAAACUGCUGUCUCUCACCUGUUGAUGGAGCUGACACUGGGGACAGUGUCAUUGUCACAAACGCCUUCUGCCAGGAGCCGGUCCCGGAUCUCCCAAGCAAACAUGCUGGAAAUAAGUGCAUCCAAACCUGUCUGGAUGUAACGCUCCCAUGGUAAAUAACGUUUAAAGAAAGACAUGGCAUCCUUUCAUUCAUGUUUUCUCAAGACUCAGGAUGGAGCAGAGAUGAAGAGAAAAAGCCACAGCCAACAGCUCAGAAAAUUAUCAAGGUGUUGAAGAUCAGAAGGCGGCUUGCUUGCAAGAGAUGGUCUUCUCCUUCCAUAGUACAAGUAUUUCCCUAGCUUACUCAGGAAAACUGAAACACCCUUUACAGCUACUUCGCAAGUCCUACUAUGUCUUCCACCGUGUUCCUCCCUUUCCUUCUACAUGCUGUAAAUAAAGAUUUUGCUCCCA
ensembl:processed_transcript Gm13415 predicted gene 13415